GAUGAACGCUGGCGGCGUGCCUAAUACAUGCAAGUCGAGCGAACAGACGAGGAGCUUGCUCCUCUGACGUUAACGGCGGACGGGUGAGUAACACGUGGAUAACCUACCUAUAAGACUGGGAUAAAUUCGGGAAAACGGAGCUAAUACCGGAUAAUAUAUUGAACCGCAUGGUUCAAUAGUGAAAGACGGUUUUGCUGUCACUUAUAGAUGGAUCCGCGCCGCAUUAGCUAGUUGGUAAGGUAACGGCUUACCAAGGCAACGAUGCGUAGCCGACCUGAGAGGGUGAUCGGCCACACUGGAACUGAGACACGGUCCAGACUCCUACGGGAGGCAGCAGUAGGGAAUCUUCCGCAAUGGGCGAAAGCCUGACGGAGCAACGCCGCGUGAGUGAUGAAGGUCUUCGGAUCGUAAAACUCUGUUAUUAGGGAAGAACAAAUGUGUAAGUAACUAUGCACGUCUUGACGGUACCUAAUCAGAAAGCCACGGCUAACUACGUG
rnacentral:rRNA from 1 species